rnacentral:lncRNA from 1 species
GAAACUUCCUCUUUAUGAUAUUAUUCUUCUUUACUCCUUUUACUUCAUUCCUAGGUAAUACCUUUCUCAAUCAAUAAGCUCAGAAGUUGAUAUGGGUCUCAACUCUUGAACAAACUUCUGAUGGUAAGUCCAAAGAUCUAUGAAUCUCGAUAACGGAGAUUAGACACGGCCAUUAUUCGAUUGCAGCAACAUUUUUUUUUUUUUUAAAUCUCCAACAAAUCCUUGUUCCAACUUGCUGACUAACAGAUCCAACUUCCAUUUUCCUAGCAGUAGCAUUUACAAUAACUUGAUGCAUCCAUCGAGUGUCUUUGAAAACCAAUUGCACCAUGCAACUGAUCUUAACCACUCAUAAAUUCUAGAAAAGUGAUAUUUAACCAUAGUCAUGUCAUCUAUAGCUGAACAUAACGACAAAAACUCGUCCUUCUUCUUUAUCACUGACAUGGGCAUUCCCCGAGAAAAUAUCUAGGUCGAGGGAAACCUUUCUCCAAACAAAUCUUCUAACUGCUACUAGAACUCGGCGAGAACCACUUGGUGAGAUCCCUAGGCUAUUGCAGUGAAUCAAGUUUCAACAAGAAUAUAUGG